rnacentral:rRNA from 1 species
UACGGGGGAGCAAGCGUUGUUCGGAUUUACUGGCGUAAAGGGCGGGUAGGCGGCCACUGCAAGUCGGUUGUGAAAUCUCCGGGCUUAACUCGGAAAGGUCAAUCGAUACUGCAGGGCUAGAGUGCAGAAGGGGCAACUGGAAGUUCUACGGUGUAGCGGUGAAAUGCGUAGAUAUCGAGAGGAACACCUGCGGCGAAGGCGGGUUGCUGGGCUGACACUGACGCUGAACUGCGAAAGCUAGGGGAGCGAACGGG